rnacentral:lncRNA from 1 species
GAUCUUUCUAAUUUUAAAGCCAAAUUAGACUUUUGACCCCAAUUUCAUAGAAAAUGAAAGUGUGAUUGUCAGGUUAAAGUUUUUGGACAAGGUAGUGUUUGAUGAAGUUGUGAAGUCAAAUCAACUAGAAACUUAGUACACAUGUUCCCUAUGAUAAGAUCUUUCUAAUUUUAAUGCCAAAUUAGAUUUUUUACCCAAUUUCACGGUCCAUUGAACAUGGAAAAUGAUAGUGCAAGUGGGGCAUCCGUGUACUAUAGACACAUUCUUGUUUAUACCAGAACUGUUUUGUAAGUCGAUACAGGACAAAGCAUUCGUGAAGCCUUUAUGUAGAAAAAUGCACAAAUCAUCAAGCUCUGACAAUAUGACCAGCAUGAUUUUGUGUAUAUGAUAAACUCGUAUGACGUAUGAAGAGAUUUUUUUAACUUAGCUUAAGAUUUUUGAAAUAGAUUUGUAUGAAUACCAAAGAUUGGCCUUUAUAAUAUUGCAUGAUAAAAUUGAAAUUCAAG